rnacentral:rRNA from 1 species
UGAGGAAUAUUGGUCAAUGGGCGCGAGCCUGAACCAGCCAAGUAGCGUGAAGGAUGAAGGUCCUACGGAUUGUAAACUUCUUUUAUAAGGGAGUAAAGUCACCCACGUGUGGGUGUUUGUAUGUACCUUAUGAAUAAGCAUCGGCUAACUCCGUGCCAGCAGCCGCGGUAAUACGGAGGAUACGAGCGUUAUCCGGAUUUAUUGGGUUUAAAGGGAGCGUAGACGGGCCGUUAAGUCAGCUGUGAAAGUUUGAGGCUCAACCUUAAAAUUGCAGUUGAUACUGACGUCCUUGAGUACGGUUGAGGCAGGCGGAAUUCGCGGUGUAGCGGUGAAAUGCUUAGAUAUCACGAAGAACCCCGAUUGCGAAGGCAGCCUGCUAAACCGCCACUGACGUUGAGGCUCGAAAGUGUGGGUAUCAAACAGGAUUAGAUACCCUGGUAGUCCACACGGUAAACGAUGGAUACUCGCUGUUGGCGAUAGACUGUCAGCGGCUUAGCGAAAGCGUUAAGUAUCCCACCUGGGGAGUACGCCGGCAACGGUGAAACUCAAAGGAAUUGACGGGGGCCCGCACAAGCGGAGGAACAUGUGGUUUAAUUCGAUGAUACGCGAGGAACCUUACCCGGGCUUGAAUUGCAGACGAAUUGCUUGGAAACAGGCAAGCCGCAAGGCGUCUGUGAAGGUGCUGCAUGGUUGUCGUCAGCUCGUGCCGUGAGGUGUCGGCUUAAGUGCCAUAACGAGCGCAACCCUCGUGUCCAGUUACUAGCAGGUUAUGCUGAGGACUCUGGACAGACUGCCAUCGUAAGAUGUGAGGAAGGUGGGGAUGACGUCAAAUCAGCACGGCCCUUACGUCCGGGGCUACACACGUGUUACAAUGGGGGGUACAGCAGGCAGCUACCGGGCGACCGGAUGCCAAUCCCGAAAGCCUCUCUCAGUUCGGACUGGAGUCUGCAACCCGACUCCACGAAGCUGGAUUCGCUAGUAAUCGCGCAUCAGCCACGGCGCGGUGAAUACGUUCCC